GGAGUCCCUGACCCUGUGAUGUUUGUGAGUGAGCGGAACCCUUGCAGAGGCAUCCAGGUAUUUCCAGAGAUCCUGUGACUAUCAAGGUCUGCUCUCGCUGAAGCCAACUCGUCCUUAAUCCCUUCCUAACAGCAGAUAAGCUCAAAUAGAUGUCAUUGGCCCAAUGGAAUAAGUUUUUCCUUUCUAAUGUGGCAGAAGUACCAGUCGCAACGAAGCAGGGAUGACAUCAAAGUGGAUUGAUUCAGCAGCUCAACCUUGCCAUCAAGGGUCCAAGUUCUUUUAGCCUCUCUGCUCUGCUAACUGCAACACCAGCUUUACACGUCACUGGCUUCCUUUAUGAUCGUGAGAUGGAUGCUGUACAUUUUUUUGUUUUUGUUGUGUGUGUGUGUGUGUGGAAGAGAGAGAGAGGCUUUUUGUGAAUACUUUAAUUAAAUUGGGAUUAUUUAAGAAAGAGAAGAAAAGAAGAAAUGAUGCUGGGUGAUCAUCAGUGUCCAACACAGUUGCUCUGGCUAGGACUUCCAAUACUAUGCGGAAUAAAGGUGGCAACAGGUGGACAUCCCUGUCUUCUUCCUGACCUUAGAGAAAAAGCCUUCAGCUUUUCACCAUUGAGUAUGAUGUUAGCUGUGGGCUUGUUAUAUAUGACUUUAUUAAGACAUCAUCUACUUAAUAAACGAGCAAAUCUUGCUGUAUCUGAGAUUUUGGAAACAGAUGUACCUGUGUUUGAAAGUUGAUUUUGUUGCCUACUAGUCAUGAAAACUUGGGCAUGUUAUUUUACCUCUCUGAGUCUGUUCUCUUAUCUGUAAAAUGUGGAUAAUAUUGUAUGUUAAUUGUGAGGAUUAGGGGAAUAAAGUAUGCAUAGAGUAUCUGCAUUACAUUGAGUCUUCAUAAAUGGUAGCUACACUAAUAACAAAGAUAUUAAUAAUAAUUCAAUUCUUGUUUGAUUGUUACACAUUACACAAGCCCAGAGAUGUGGUAGAUUAAAAAAACCUGAUCCUUGGAAAUAAACAGACACAAAUGUAAUCAUGUGCAUUUAACAGAUGUGUUAGUUUCCUAGGGGUGUUUUUUCAUAAAUUACUACAAACAUGGUGGCUUAGAACAACAGAAAUUUAUUCUUUUUCAAUUCUGGAGGCCAAAAGUCUGAAAUCAAGGUUUUGGCAGGUUUGGUUCUUCUGGAAGUUCUGAAGGAGAAUCCAUUCCAUGCCUGUCUCCUGGCUCUAUGGCUCAUUGCAAUCCUUGUUAUUCCUUGACUUACAGAUUUAUGACUAUAAUCUCUGCCUCUGUCUUCAUAUCUGCAUGUCUGCUCACUUUUUCUUCUAAGGACAAUUGUCAUUGAAUUUAGAACCCACUGUAAUUCAGGAUGAUCAUCUCAAGUCCUCAACUUAAUUGCUUCUGCAAGAUGCUUUUCCCAAAUAAGGUCACAUUACAGGUUCAGGCAGACACAUCUUUUGGGAAGCUACCACUCCAUCCAGUACAAUAGAGAUAUAAUACAAUUUAAU